ACAUUCAUCUCUUGGGAUCCGAGGAGAGAUAUCUGCCGAGAGAGAAUUUGGAUCGGAGCCAGCAAAGCAAACUCCAGAAGCCUUGGCUGCUGCGAAAGGGGAUUCAACACCUUUCCGGGUCGUUCUCACUUCAUUUCCAGCCGGUCCCCCUUUGGUGCUGUUUCCCAAGUAAUCAGACCUCAGGGGUUGCCUCCUGGUGGGGAAAGGGAAGCUUGCCUUGCUGGAGAAGGGGCUCAAGGCACAGGACUUGCCUCGGACUUGCCAAGGAGGCUUGCAGGAGGCUCUUUGUCUACUCCUCUGUCCUCAUCCAACAAAUGGUUGUUCCAGAAAAAAUGCAGCAACACCUGAACUCUUCUAAA